rnacentral:tRNA from 1 species
UGCCGUGAUCAGGAUUUGAACCUGGGUUAUUUUGGCCACAACGCAAUGUCCUAACCACUAGACGAACACGGC